CUGAGCUGAGCUGAGCUGCUUCUCUGCUCAAAAUGGCACUCGUUUUGCCAUUUUGAGCAGAGAAGCAGCUCAGCUCAGCUCAG